GUGGCUUCUGUUUGGCUAGAAUGAAAGUACCUUUUGUGGAUAAGUUUGAAGACCUUUGCUCUACAUUGUCUUUUAGUUAGCUAGCUAAUCUUACAGUAAAUGGCUAGUCUGCUAUCACUGGCCCCAGAACUAUACUAAACUCACACACAAAUCAGAGCAAGCGUUUUCUCCACAAGUUGUGUUUUUCUUAAUUGGUUAGCACUGAUUGGAUAGCUUGCUCAAUUGACACCAUGGAUCUGUGAUCAAGGUCGUAAUGCACAAACAGACUGCUGUGAGCUCAGACCAAGAACUCUGCCAAAAGAGUGACCUAGCUAAAACACAACCUCUUUUUAAAGGGGCAUAACUCGGGGCACACAACCCAUCAUAGGGCACAAUUGUGCACACACGUUACGGAAGAUUUAGAGAUGCCAGUCAGCCUACAACGUGUGUCUUUGGACUGGGGGAGGAAACCCCUGAAGCACGGGGAGAACAUGCAAACUCCGUGCACACAGAGUGGAGGCAGGAUUCGAACCACCAACCCCCAGAGAAGCAACUUGAGAACAGAGAUGGGUGGGAGAGAAAACAGAAAAAAGAAAGAAGCAGUAUACAGAAGUCCAUCCUGCAGCCACUCAUCUCCCUGCUUCAACAAUGACCAAUAAAUGAGCUACAAAACUGUGCAGGACUCCUCCUACCAAGAAAUAUGUCUAAGCUUGGCUAGAAGUGUCUCGUUUCAUCCCCUCAUCCCUUUUUGAAAAUAAAUGAACUGUAUAGUAAUUGAUUGGGAUUGUUUGUACCGUUCACAACAAAGAUAAUAUAUUUGUUGUAUAUAUGUUUUAAAGUGAGUGCAUGUAUGCGUGUUCACCAUGAAUGUCUUUAUCUCUGAAACAAAGAAUAACCAUGAACCAUACUGAACAAGCCAAAAUCCCAGUAGUUACACUGACGUUACUGAAAUUCCAGUAGCUGCCGUGAUGUGAAUUGUAAUGUCUAGUGUCUUGUUAUCCUCAGCACGCCAUAUCCAAAAACCUGCUACUAUACAUACAAAACCUGUGUGUGUGUUU